rnacentral:misc_RNA from 1 species
AAGAGGAGGAACCAGUAAAUAUGGAAGAGUUGGUUUUGACUUCUUCGUCUGGUACUUGGGUCUUUUUGUUGAUACACCUUCUUUGUCCACUGUUGGGAUGGUAAUACCAGCAUUAGCAAGUAUUUGAUUCCUCAUAGCCUCUAAACGUCGUUGUUCCUCCUUCUGCUUUCCUGUUAAGAGUUUGCCCUCUUCGUCUGGUACUUGGGUCUUUUUGUU